GUUUGUUAUAUGAGUGAGUAUGGUUUUAUGCUGAGUGAAGCAACUGCAAACCAAGAAACAGGGUGCUAUGGAGUAGUAUAAUGUAGGAGGCUGUCCGAGGUGGAUGACAACUGACAUGCAUCGUGACGUCGGUUACCAAGGGGGCAGACGAGCAAGGCGUAGUGACGUCAUGCAAAAAGUGUACUACAGAACAA